rnacentral:lncRNA from 1 species
AGGAUUGUGUGUUAUUAUCCUAUACAAAUUAGGCCUUUAAAUCCUUUUCCUUUGCUACAUAGGGGCUGCGAAUUUCAGCCUAUAAAUAUCAUCCUUUGCUGCACCAUUUAGGCACCACCCUCUACCAUAUUUUCUCUACACCAUUCACCCAAACAUCCCUCUUGUGCCGUGAGUUUGCAAAGGAGAAGGAAGGAGACUCUUGGAGCCGUGCAUGCCAUUCAAGGAGCUUGGAUUGUUGGAGCGUUUCUAGCGUUUCUAGGUGUUUUCUAUCUUUAUGUCAAUGUUUAAAUUUAUUUAUCUUUGUUUAUUUGCGAACAUGAGGAACUAAUUUCUUUAUAGUUAGAGGGGAAUUCAAAGCCAUGAUCAUAUGUUUUAUAUGACUUGAUUUCCUCUAGUUAUGAUUUCAUAAAUCGUGAAUGUGGUUUACUUAU